GGCCGGGAUCUCAGGGCGCGAGGUUGGUAGCUGGGUGGGGUUUGCAGCUACCAGAGGGCGGAGCCUAAGGCGGAACGGCGCUUACGAAAGUUUGAGUAAACCGAGCUCAUGAGGUUGGUGCGACAAGGACAUUCCAGUGCUGCCAGGGGGCGCAGGCCUAGAGCAGAGUCACAGGAGAAUGGGGAGGGCACGAUAUUCUGGCUUCCCCCACCGUGUCACUGCCCUGGACUUGCUCCCUGUGACCUUCCACAGUGCCCACCACAAUGACGUCAUUCCAGGUGACGACCGAUGCCCCAAGGCCUUGGCCGGUCUUGAAGGUUUGGAAAGUCUGGAAGCCUACGUGACGAGUCUCGUCCCCUGGAGGGCACAAGAAAGGGAGGCGCUUUGGAGCCCCGCCAUCCACUUCCUCCUGGCCCUCCUCCCCCCUCCAUGCCGGAGUCUCACUUAGGUCGAAAGUCAACGAGGUGCAUUUGCCGCCAUUGGCCUUCCAGGGGCACAGGAACACGCCGCCAGUCUCCUCCUGACUUGCGCUUAGAGCCCUGGGGGCGCCCACCACGAUGGACACACUGCGUAGGAAAGCUGAGUGAGCACGGCUCAGGGUCCUUCUGUCCUGCCCGGUGCCUGCCACCCCAGCAGUGCCUGGGGUGCCAGCAGUGGCGCAGGAGACAUUGGACAAUCUUUCCUCACAGAUGCCCCGUUAAGGCCAACCUCUUCGUUUUAGGGGCAGUGGCACUGGACUCUUAGGAAGUUCGCCUUCCUAAACCGGUUGGUUUGGUUUGCACAGGAGGGGUUUAAUCGUCCUUACUGAAAACGCCUUGCUAUGUUUCAUACACUGAUGUCCCCUCGCUUCCUCCCAAUAAGAACCAGAUAAACCUUGUGCCUUGUGAAGCCUAACAGGUUGCUUAGUGAGAACUGUUUCGAAUGGUGAAGGAUGUGGCGAGCCGAAGUGGGGAUGUGUGAUGCUGACAGAGUUGAGGAUCCUAGCAGACCGAAGUUUAAAUCAGUUCUGCCAUAUGUAAAGUGGGGGUGAUAUCAAGCAACUGUGCUGUUGGGAGAGUAGCAAUAAAUGUAUGAGAGGUG